ACGGGAGGCAGCAGUAGGGAAUCUUCCGCAAUGGGCGAAAGCCUGACGGAGCAAUGCCGCGUGAGUGAAGAAGGCCUUCGGGUCGUAAAACUCUGUUAUAAGAGAAGAACAAAUUGUAGAGUAACUGCUACAGUCUUGACGGUAUCUUAUCAGAAAGCCACGGCUAACUACGUGCCAGCAGCCGCGGUAAUACGUAGGUGGCAAGCGUUGUCCGGAUUUAUUGGGCGUAAAGGGAGCGCAGGUGGUUUCUUAAGUCUGAUGUGAAAGCCCACGGCUUAACCGUGGAGGGUCAUUGGAAACUGGGAAACUUGAGUACAGAAGAGGAAUGUGGAACUCCAUGUGUAGCGGUGGAAUGCGUAGAUAUAUGGAAGAACACCAGUGGCGAAGGCGACAUUCUGGUCUGUUACUGACACUGAGGCUCG
rnacentral:rRNA from 1 species